rnacentral:lncRNA from 1 species
UACGAGUGUUUACUUGGGUCUAUAUGCUAAUUGGGCCAUAUUUUCAGAUGCGCAUAAUGUACCUACGUGCUAACGAAUACUGGAGUUUUGUCGGUUCAGUAACUUUCAGUGACGUUUUAAACAAGAUUACCAAAAAGAAAUAAAACAGAACAGGUACAAAUAAUAUUGUUAUUCUUGUUUAACAUGAUUUUAAUUUAUUUUGUUUGUUAUUAUCUAUUAUAAAAUAAUAGGGAUAGUUAUACUAUAUUAUUUUUUUUUUUUAUAUAACACUAAAACGAAAUUAAAAAAACGCAGUAUAACGUUAUAAUACGUUAAAAUUAUAACGUAUUAAUAAUAAAUUCAUUCCAUGAAAUCGCAGGAAAAAAAAAAAAUUAAAAUAUUAAAUAAUGGCCCCGAUUAAAUGUCUUUCCGUUCUCGUUCUUAUCGUAACUAUAGGCUAUCAUAAUUUUAGAUUUUAGACAAUGUUUAUAAUAUUUAAAUUUAUGUACUUCUAGAUGAAUUAUAAUAUAUAUAUAAGCCUGGUUAGCAUUAUUCAAAUGACGCGGUGUUACUCAUUACAUUCCGAUUUUGUUUGUUUUUAUUAUCACCGGAGGUCAGGAGAACGGAUUUAUAAUAUUAUUAAAUAAUUAAUAUUUUGUGGUUUGAAACAUAUUAUAAUGUCGGUUGACAUCAAAUUAUCAAAACGAUGUCAAAAAAUGUGCACUUACUUUUUAUUAGGUUUUAAAAACAAAUUGGAUUUUAAUUAACAUAAAUGUUAAAACAUUUCAUUAAAAAAUAAAAAUUACGUGAUCUGACGUGUAAUUAAAUUUUUGAUUAACUGAGUAAUUCUAAGUAAUAUUUUUUUUUAUCAUGUUGAAUUUAAAAAACAGUAUGGCGGUAACACAUCAUACGUCAAACUGCAGACUCAAAGUCAUUUUCAAUCAAUUUCCUGUUGACAUUUUCUUCUUGUAUUAUUUUUUUUUAUAAUCAAGGGAUUUUAAUUAAAUUUAAAUUAAAUUAUAAAUAUUAGAUAUUUUAAUUUACACAAUCUGCACUAUGCCAAUAUAGGUUAAACUUCACGAAACAACUGAGUCUGAAAACUUUAUAAUCGAAUAUAUAUCGAAUUCUAAGACAAACAUAAUAUUAUUUAUUAGCGGUCUAAGUUUCGGUGCAGCUACGUGACAGCGGAACAAACUUGUUUAAUAUCCGCGCACAAACUCUUUGUACAUACCAAAAGCCUAUUGAAUUAAUAAUACGCAAUAUUGCAAGUUACAAUAAUUAUUUAUUUUAGCUAUUGUCUCGUAUAAUAUGUGAGACCCUUAUAAGGAUGCUACAUACACAUUACUUGUACAAGUCUCAUAAUAGCGCGACAUAGCAGAUAUACGUUAAGCAGGACAAACUUUUUUCUCUGAUGGUUUUAAAAUUAGAAUAAAUUAUAUAUACCUAUUAUCAGACUUGGAGAAGAGAACAUUAUUUGUAUUUGUACGCUGAUGUUUUUCGUUAUUUUAAUUUUGAACUUAUAUAGUGUGUGGUGUAAUAUCACAAUUUCAAAAAUAAUUUUACCUUGCUUGAAAAUAAAAAUAUCGAAGAAAAACUAACUUAAAAAUACAUAUAUUUAUCAAAAACUUAAAGGUAAGACAUUAAGUUUUUGAUAAUUGGACAAUUCACAGAAAUCUGCAGCACAAAAUUGGUUCUGCUAAACGAAAAUGUGCUUUGUCGUCUGUUUGUAAAUCGGAGACAAUGAGUGCAUACGUCCCUAUUAAACAUUUUAUACUUUAUAGUUUCAAACAUUGGGUAAUUUUUUAUUUUUAAUAGGUACAUUAAUUAAUACUAUAAAUUGAAUACUGUUGUUUCGUUUUUAAUUUUUUUACAGGAGCUUCAAUUAUUUUAGCUCAUUGACAUUGGAAUUGGCAGUGAAGGGGACUAACCCGUUCGAGAACUAUCCACAAUAUAUUCAGUUGUACAACGGUGGACCCCGUCAUGUCAUCACCGUAUUUUAGAUUCUGUGUG